rnacentral:rRNA from 1 species
UCUGCUUGCAGGGGAGAGUAAAGUGGCGCACGGGUGAGUAUCGCGUGGGUAAUCUACCCUUGAAUUCAGGAUAACAUUUCGAAAGGGGUGCUAAUACUGGAUAACAUCCUGAUGGUUUCGGCCAUAAGGAUCAAAGAUGGCCUCUACAUGUAAGCUAUAGUUCAGGGAUGAGCCCGCGUACCAUUAGCUAGUUGGUGGGGUAAGAGCCUACCAAGGCAACGAUGGUUAGCUGGUCUGAGAGGAUGAUCAGCCACACUGGAACUGAAACACGGUCCAGACUCCUACGGGAGGCAGCAGUGAGGAAUUUUGCGCAAUGGGGGAAACCCUGACGCAGCAACGCCGCGUGAGUGAAGAAGGCUUUCGGGUCGUAAAGCUCUGUCAAGAGGGAAGAAAGUGGGGGAUGGUAAUACUGUUUUCUAUUGACGGUACCUCUGAAGGAAGCACCGGCUAACUCCGUGCCAGCAGCCGCGGUAAUACGGGGGAUGCAAGCGUUAUUCGGAUUUAUUGGGCGUAAAGAGCGCGUAGGCGGUUUAUCAAGUCAGAUGUGAAAGCCCUGGGCUCAACCUGGGAAGUGCAUUUGAAACUAGUAGACUUGAGUAUGGGAGAGGGGAGUGGAAUUCCUGGUGUAGAGGUGAAAUUCGUAGAUAUCAGGAGGAACACCGGUGGCGAAGGCGACUUCCUGGACCAAUACUGACGCUGAGGCGCGAAGGCGUGGGGAGCAAACAGGAUUAGAUACCCUGGUAGUCCACGCAGUAAACGGUGAUCAC